rnacentral:rRNA from 1 species
GACGAACGCUGGCGGCGUGCUUAACACAUGCAAGUCGAACGAUGACGACCGAGCUUGCUCGGUCUGAUUAGUGGCGAACGGGUGAGUAACACGUGAGCAACCUGCCCUUCACUCUGGGAUAACCUCGGGAAAUCGGGGCUAAUACCGGAUAUGAGCUCCUGUCGCAUGGCGGGUGUUGGAAAGUUUUUCGGUGAAGGAUGGGCUCGCGGCCUAUCAGUUUGUUGGUGAGGUAGUGGCUCACCAAGGCGAUGACGGGUAGCCGGCCUGAGAGGGCGACCGGCCACACUGGGACUGAGACACGGCCCAGACUGCUACGGGAGGCAGCAGUGGGGAAUAUUGCACAAUGGGCGAAAGCCUGAUGCAGCGACGCCGCGUGAGGGAUGACGGCCUUCGGGUUGUAAACCUCUUUCAGCAGGGAAGAAGCGAAAGUGACGGUACCUGCAGAAGAAGCGCCGGCUAACUACGUG